ACUCGACCACAACAGGCUGAUGCC
rnacentral:siRNA from 1 species